rnacentral:lncRNA from 1 species
GCACUCUCGUAGCCGCUGCGGCCACGUGGAACCUGAGGUAGUGUUGCACAGUUGCGCGACGGAGCCAUCGAGCGCUCGGCCGCGCUGGCGCACCCUCGUAGCCGCUGCGGAAACCUGCGACUUGAGGUAGUGUUGCACAGUUGCGCGACGGAGCCAUCGAGCGCUCGGCCGCGCUGGCGCACCCUCGUAGCCGCUGCGGAAACCUGCGACUUGAGGUAGUGUUGCACAGUUGCGCGACGGAGCCAUCGAGCGCUCGGCCGCGCUGGCGCACCCUCGUAGCCGCUGCGGAAACCUGCGACUUGAGGUAGUGUUGCACAGUUGCACGUCUGAAGCGACGAGUGUUCCGCCGCGCUGGCGCACUCUCGUAGCCGC